UACGUAGGGUGCGAGCGUUAAUCGGAAUUACUGGGCGUAAAGUGUGCGCAGGCGGCAGAGCAAGUCGAGUGUGAAAGCCCCGGGCUUAACUUGGGAAUUGCGCUCGAAACUACUUUGCUGGAGUGUGGCAGAGGAAGGUGGAAUUCCACGUGUAGCGGUGAAAUGCGUAGGGAUGUGGAGGAACACCAAUGGCGAAGGCAGCCUUCUGGGCCAACACUGACGCUCAUGCACGAAAGCGUGGGGAGCAAACAGG
rnacentral:rRNA from 1 species